ACCUUCGGGGGGCAGCAGUGGGGAAUUUUGGACAAUGGGCGAAAGCCUGAUCCAGCCAUGCCGCGUGCAGGAUGAAGGCCUUCGGGUUGUAAACUGCUUUUGUACGGAACGAAAAGACUCUUUCUAAUAAAGAGGGUCCAUGACGGUACCGUAAGAAUAAGCACCGGCUAACUACGUGCCAGCAGCCGCGGUAAUACGUAGGGUGCAAGCGUUAAUCGGAAUUACUGGGCGUAAAGCGUGCGCAGGCGGUUAUGUAAGACAGAUGUGAAAUCCCCGGGCUCAACCUGGGAACUGCAUUUGUGACUGCAUAGCUAGAGUACGGUAGAGGGGGAUGGAAUUCCGCGUGUAGCAGUGAAAUGCGUAGAUAUGCGGAGGAACACCGAUGGCGAAGGCAAUCCCCUGGACCUGUACUGACGCUCAUGCACGAAAGCGUGGGGAGCAAACAGGAUUAGAUACCCUUGUAGUCG
rnacentral:rRNA from 1 species